UGGCAAUACUUACCGUCUUUUACUUGUGUUCAUUGUAGCUAAGGCUGAUGUUUUUUAAUUUUUGGCUACACGUGGUAUACCAGAUAGUGAGCUUGCUUGCAUUGGGUGACAACUUUUUCCAGCUGCACCACCAUGUUGAUUGCUGAAGUCUCAGAUCAUUUUUGCAUUUCUUCCCGCCAUAUACUUUAUUAUGAAUUGUAGGUUUUGAUUAGUCUUUUUUAAGGCAAACUUUUGUGUGAUGAUUUUCUCAUGGUGUAGUGAAGGAAAAAGAAGUUCUUGGACAAUGCAUUAUUGGCUUCUUUAGUAACAGAGUUCUUCUUCCUAGUCCUUUUUACAUUUUUUAUGAACUGUGUUAUAUCUGUCUUACUCUUUUUAUGAAAUGUUUGAAGAAGAAUUAUUGUAAUUUUGCAAGGGUGGCGAUGUCUAGACUGUGGCUUGUUGCAUGCACAUUUGCCCAUUUGAUUUGUAUAAGGAUUUAGUAUCUGGGAUUUUGUUCUUAUAAUUAACUUAAUGUGUGUCCAGCCUCAACCAUUCUAUUUCCUUCUGUUCUGUGUUUUUGUAGAGCAAAAUGCCUUAUUCACAUAGUGUUAAUAUGGGGGUGCAUUCCAUUUUUAUUACACCAAAUAUUUCUCUGAGGCGCUGAGAUUGCUGACGCCCCACCAAAAAAGGUUGUGAUUGCAAAAGUAUGGCUUCAGUUGUGUUCUUUUUUUUGUAUCAAAAUUGAAUUGCCCAUCUUGUUUUAUUCGCUGGAUUGUUUGGUUGUGUUGAUAUUGUGUCUUCCAAGAUUAUCGUUGAUCAAAAUGUUAUAUUGGUAUAUCAAAGAACUCAUAUUAGUAUAUCAAAGAACUCAGUUCACUAUCUUCUGGGAUUGCAUAAUAUGGCGCUGAAAUUUUGUCAAAUGGUGAAGGAUCUUGUUUUGUUCUACCUUAUGAUCUAAGUGACAAAAAUAUUUUGCUCAUGCUUCAUGUAUGUUGCCAUUACAUGUUUCAUAUGCCCCACCUCCAAGGGCCGAUGAAAUGUUAAAUACCUAUCAGCUUCCAAGAAAUUGAGGGAGCUAAUUAUUUUGUACUUCUGAUAUUAGUCGUCUUGUAUAUGCACGUUUCAUCAGUGAACUCAUUGAGACGGGGAAAUUUUAUGGGAGCAAGUGCAAAAGAAUGAGUUAUGUCACUACUUGCAGUGAGUUCUCUAUGCAAUCAUUUCCCUUUGUUAUGUCAAGGUGUUUCUCUUGUCUCAGGGUCUUUUAUCACGCAUGUUUAUUUCUAUUUUCUGUAUAAACCUGCACUGCUGACAUUUUCCUUCCUUGAUCAGGUGUACUAUCUACAUUUCUUGGACUUUGUGGUUCGAACAAUGGACCCGUUUGUCCCUAGAUUUGUUGCUUGCAAGGGGCAUAUUGUGAAAUAUUAUUCAGAGCUAGAUCACAAAACCCCACUCGCUCAGUUCAAUCGAUCAUUUGACCACCUACCUGCUCACUAUUGUGUGUGUGUGUGUGUGUGGAUGCAGCCACGCGUGAAGGCUUUCGGGAGAAGGCAGCUGAAAAUAAAUCUUGCAAGAUGAUAUAAGGAGGGUCGCAUGGCCAUGCUUUCAUUAAAUAUCUUUCGUUGCCUCUUGUGUGUAUACACCUGCAUAGCGAGGUUGUCUUGAACACCUUUGCUCUUCCUCUUUUCUGUUUGUGCAGGGUGUUUUAUCUACUGAAAAGGGUGACCAAGCAGUAUAUAUUUUGAAUGUUUUUCAUUGUCUUUCAACAAUAAGAUGCAUUUCGUUUUUUUAACAGGGAAGGCCCCAAAGGCCAAGAAGCUUCAGUAAACAGGGGUGGUCGGUGGAGUUACAAGUUACAGUAAGGCCACACAGAAAAAGUGAAAUUGCAACACUGCCCAACGUUUUUGCACAAAGGACACUGGAUGAAAACUGGAGCUUCACAACACACUGGAGCUUCACAACACAGUCAACGGAGGUGGGGACGGAGCCAAUUGGGAUGAGAUGGCGGGAGCAAGCUGUGCUGGAGCAGAGGAGCCUCCUUGAUGGCAUGUCAGCCUGGAAGCUGAGUAGAGCCGUCGUGCGCUGGCUGGAAGGAACCUAAGCCGACGAGUGAGGUGGGAGUGGUCGCCCUUUGACCAUCUGCAACCGUAGCAACCGUGGAACUGUCUUGGAUGAAUUCCUGGGAGUAGCUUCAGAACUCCCCUGGAGCAGAGUCGAUACCCAGCAGCAGAAGGCCUGUAUUUCUCCCCUCUCCAGAUCACCAUGAGCAGAGAGGGGGAUUUCCAUACGUUGACUGCCUUCAGUAGAUCUCUGGCUCUGACCAUCAGCGCGCCGCAUCGAGGAAAGUAACCACCAGCCGGCUCCAGAUCCCGGACCUGAAUAACGAGGUCAUUGAUGGUAUUUUUAAUAUUGUGAAGUUCUCCAAUAAAGCUGAGAUGGACACUAACAGAGAAUUUCUAGUAACAAAUGUUCCCUAAUUUCUGGCUGAAACCAGGGGAAUCUCCAAGGUCAAUGGAUGUACCAAAUGUUGUUCUACGAAGAACAAACUCCCACGCUUCACAAACGAUCAAAGUGCAAUGGAUACAACAGUGGAUUUUAAAUUCCAUACAGAACAGAACGGACACUGUAAAGAUGAUAUUGCAACUGGCUCUGUCACAAUUCAAGAGGAUAGCACGUGAAUUGUCGCACAAAUACAAAGGUACCAAUGCUAGUUUCACGAGUGGAAAUGGCUCCGGCAGGCUAGACAUUAAUGAUCUAGCACCUCUUGUUAUUCUAAGUGAUACUCUUCUGUUUUUAUUUAUGUUUG